rnacentral:rRNA from 1 species
CCUACGGGAGGCUGCACUAGGGAAUCUUUCACAAUGGGCGAAAGCCUGAUGGAGCAACGCCGCGUGCAGGAUGAAGGCCUUCGGGUUGUAAACCUCUUUUGUCGGGGAGCAAAGCGAACCACGUGUGGUUCAUUGAGAGUACCCGAAGAAAAAGCAUCGGCUAACUCCGUGCCAGCAGCCGCGGUAAUACGGAGGAUGCGAGCGUUAUCCGGAUUUAUUGGGUUUAAAGGGUGCGCAGGCGGAGGUUCAAGUCAGCGGUCAAAUCGCGGGGCUCAACCCCGUACUGCCGUUGAAACUGCAUCCCUUGAGUGCGCGAGAAGUAUGCGGAAUGCGUGGUGUAGCGGUGAAAUGCAUAGAUAUCACGCAGAACUCCGAUUGCGAAGGCAGCAUACCGGCGCGCAACUGACGCUCAUGCACGAAAGCGUGGGUAUCGAACAGGAUUAGAUACCCCAGUAGUC